UCUAUCUCCAGAGUUGUCUCCCUUUGUGAUUUCUUCAUUGUUUCUAUUUCCAUUUUUAGAUCUUGGAUGGUUUUGUUCAAUUUUAUCACCUGUUUGGUUGUGUUUUCCUGUAAUUCUUUAAGGGGUUUUUGUGUUUCCUGUUUAAGGUCUUCUACCUGUUUAGCAGUGUUUUCCUGUAAUUCCUUGAUGGAUUUAUUUUUGCUUCCUCGUUAAGGGCCUCUACCUGUUUAGCAGUGUUCUCCUGUAUUUCUUUAAAUAAGUUAUUAAUUUCCUUUUAAAAAUCCUCUACCAGCAUCAUGAGAUAUGAUUUUAGAUCUGAAUCUUGCUUUUCAGGUGUGUUGGGGUAUCCAGGACUCGCUGUGGUGGGCAUACUGGGUUCUCAUGAUGCCUGGUGGUCCUGGUUUCUGUUAUUAAGAUUCUUUUGUUUGCCUUUCACCAGCUGGUAAUCUCUGGUGUUAGAUGUUCUAGCUUUCUCUGGCUGGAGCUUGUUCCUCCUGCGAUUCUUUAGCCUCUGUCAGCACCCCUGAGAGACCAACUCUCUCCUGUGUCCCAGUGGUCAAAACAUUCUCUGCAGGCAAGCUCUCCUCUUGCAGGCAAGGUACAACAGAAGUCUGGAGCUCAGAUUCACCUCCUGAUUCUUGGGGUCAGAGCCCUCCUUGGAGGCUGACUCUCCUCUGGCAGGGAAGGUGUCCAGGGGUCUGUGUCUUAGCUCUGUCUCCUGGCUGAGGAUGAAGGCCCGAAGGGAUCCUGUCCAAGAAGCUCUGUUGCUUCUGCUGCCCAUGUGCUAUCCUGCAUAGACUGGUCUCAGUGAUCCCAAGAUUCUGUGUGUGCUAGGGCCUGCCUUUGUCCUUUGACCCUGUUGCUGCUAGUACAAGACCCUCUGGGUUUUUUGGAACUGAUGUUGUGUUCCACUCACCAGUGAUCUCAGGGUCCCGGGUGUGCUAGGGUUCCUGCAGCAAGGAAAGACCUCUGGGGAUCUUAGAGACCUCCUCUGAGAUCUCACCAAAGAUCGCGCAGGUGUGGAGCUGACCAGAACAAACCCCAGCUGUUGGUUGGGCAGCUGUCCUUUGUCCCUGUUCCUGGUAGCACAAGACCUUCUGGGAUUUUUGGAACUGAUGUUGUGUUCCACUCACCAGUCAUCUCAAGGACCUGGGUGUGCUAAGGUGCCUGCAGUGUGGAGAGUCCUCUGGGGACCUUAGGACUCUCCACAGAGAUCUCUCCAAACAUCCAAGCUUUCCUUGAUCACAUCUCCCUGACUUGACAGAGGCUAGAUAUCCUGACAGCUAAAGAAGGCGGUUUUUGCCUGUUCCUCCAAGAAGAAUGGUGUUUCUAUGUAAACCAACCUGGGAUAGUGAGAAAUAAAAAUCAGGAGCUACAGUCAGACAUCAAGAAAUUCAGAGACAGUGAGACCUCCAGUUUUGGGAUUUUUGAAAAUCCUAUAUGGAAGUGGAUGGAUGCUCCCUUUCAUAACACGUUCCCUGGUCAUCUUCCAGGCAUUGUCAUUUGCUCCUUGCUUCAUUAAUCUUGUUUCUACGUUCCUUCAAUGACAAAUACAAAACAUUUCUAACCAAAUUAUUAAAUCAGCUCCUAAUACAGGAUUACCAGCCACUGCCCACAGAAGAGCUGCUGUCCACAGAGGAACCCAAUGAGAACAUUUAUCCAGUAGAUCCCAAUGGUGAAAGCCAGCUACAACCCAAAAUUGAUGACACCCCUAGACAGCAGGAAGCUGCUUAAGACACACAAUGCUCUGGUUUCCUUUUCACCAUUGGCUUUCCUCUCCCUUUUUCUUCCCUUUUUCUUUAUAAUAACAAGAAGGGAGGUAUGUUGGCACCAGGACAUUCCAAACCUAUGACAUCACAGGCGACAGCGAGACCUGCAGACUGGUUGCCAAGAAGACAACAGGCACCAUCUUCCCAGCAUUCACUUGGCUCACCUCCCACCUUUACUUGUGCUAAGUCAUUUUCCAUAUAAAUAAGGAGAACGCCCCUUCCUUGCUCUUUCUCCUCCUCUUCUCUCUCUGCCACUACUUUGUCUCUCCCUUCCGAUAAAACCUCUUCCACGUGG
rnacentral:lncRNA from 1 species